GAUGAACGCUGGCGGCGUGCCUAAUACAUGCAAGUCGAGCGAACGGACGAGAAGCUUGCUUCUCUGAUGUUAGCGGCGGACGGGUGAGUAACACGUGGAUAACCUACCUAUAAGACUGGGAUAACUUCGGGAAACCGGAGCUAAUACCGGAUAAUAUUUUGAACCGCAUGGUUCAAAAGUGAAAGACGGUCUUGCUGUCACUUAUAGAUGGAUCCGCGCUGCAUUAGCUAGUUGGUAAGGUAACGGCUUACCAAGGCAACGAUGCAUAGCCGACCUGAGAGGGUGAUCGGCCACACUGGAACUGAGACACGGUCCAGACUCCUACGGGAGGCAGCAGUAGGGAAUCUUCCGCAAUGGGCGAAAGCCUGACGGAGCAACGCCGCGUGAGUGAUGAAGGUCUUCGGAUCGUAAAACUCUGUUAUUAGGGAAGAACAUAUGUCUAAGUAACUGUGCACAUCUUGACGGUACCUAAUCAGAAAGCCACGGCUAACUACGUG
rnacentral:rRNA from 1 species